rfam:Gossypium hirsutum cultivar TM-1 scaffold4606.1_1, whole genome shotgun sequence
UAUUAGAAAUUUUUAUCCAUUUAUAUUAUUAAAAACUAGUAUGGCUGGUGGAAUAAUCAGACAGUGACAUAUGUCAUGCCACGUGUAUCCCAUGUUGAUGUCCAGGGACAAGUUUUUAACGGUAGAAAUGAAUAGAAUUUUUAAUA